CUUACCACUCUUGCUCGCGACUCUGGCGAACCUGACGUCCUUGUUGUUUCUAGCGGAGGAGGCGCCGGUGAAGCAGUGCGCGGUCUUGCCAUAUUGGAGCGGCGAAAUGCUAGGGAGGGGAGGCGGUGAGCAUGGGUCCGCUGGUCGAUGUGCGCAAUACGGAAUUACUUUCGGCCGCCCUCUCACAAGUUUUCCUGCUAGUCGAGAAGAUCAACGCCCAGGCAUUCCACGCUGCCCAUCAAGAAGUGGUUCAACCAUCGGAAGAAAAGAUCAAUCGAACGCUCUCGUUCUCAACGCAGGUUCAGAAUGUCGGUGG
rnacentral:misc_RNA from 1 species